UAACGACUCUCGACAACGGAUAUCUCGGCUCUCGCAUCGAUGAAGAACGUAGCGAAAUGCGAUACUUGGUGUGAAUUGCAGAAUCCCGUGAACCAUCGAGUCUUUGAACGCAAGUUGCGCCUGAAGCCAUUAGGCUGAGGGCACGCCUGCCUGGGCGUCUCACC
rnacentral:rRNA from 1 species